rnacentral:rRNA from 1 species
UGGGGAAUAUUGGACAAUGGGCGCAAGCCUGAUCCAGCCAUGCCGCGUGGGUGAAGAAGGCCUUCGGGUUGUAAAGCCCUUUUGUUGGGGAAGAAAUCGUGCAGGUGAAUAUCCUGCGCGGAUGACGGUACCCAAAGAAUAAGCACCGGCUAACUUCGUGCCAGCAGCCGCGGUAAUAAGAAGGGUGCAAGCGUUACUCGGAAUUACUGGGCGUAAAGCGUGCGUAGGCGGUUCGUUAAGUCCGUUGUGAAAGCCCUGGGCUCAACCUGGGAAUUGCAGUUGAUACUGGCGAGCUAGAGUACGGUAGAGGAUGGUGGAAUUCCCGGUGUGGCGGUGAAAUGCGUAGAGAUCGGGAGGAACACCCGUGGCGAAGGAGGCCAUCUGGACCAGUACUGACGCUGAGGCACGAAAGCGUGGGGAGCA